AUUGCUGGGAGUUAUUGGAAGUGCCUGGGGGCUUUCUGCCUGCAGCAGGAGGCUGCUCAGCUCACACCCUGAUUUUUGGGGGCCACCGCAGUGAUGGUGCUGGGCUUCUAAUCUGAUUUUUUUGGUUGCUGGUUUCUGCUGGCCUCCUUUGCCCUGUUUUUUUGGAGCCAGCUGUUGCUGCCAGGCUCAGAGCUUACUUUUCUGGGGCAAGAAUAAAGUUGCAGUUCCUGGGUUCUCAUGCUUUUUGAGGCUAGUGCAUGUUGACUGUGCAGUGCUUUUGCAGACUGAUUUCCAGCAGGGAGGCUGGGGUGGAGUUUGUGGGUGCUGCAGCUCCUCCUGCUUGCAGUGAUGGAGGGUGAUGGCUGUAGCGGGGCCUCUUGCAGUAAGGAUCAGCCCAAAUCUGUGAGCAGUUCUGGCAGCGAUGGGACCAUGGAGGCUGAGUGCUAGGGAUCCAGGGGUGUGCACUCCUUCCCCCACCAUGGGGUCUACUUCUGAGUGUCAUGCACUGGGGGGCUCCAAGAUAGUAAGGAUGCAGCAGAUACAUGAGAAGACUUUCACGAGCCUUCACAUUCAGAAUACACUGAGGGAGAUGCUGACUUUAUGUUGCUUCUGACUAAGGAGAACAUCAUUGGAAGGACAUCUCCAAGCAGUUGUGAUUUCUCUCAAGAUGUAUUAUUAGAAAAUUUGCAACCAUCUGAUAUUUUUUUAAAACUAUCUGAAUAACAGCAAGGUGUCAGCUAUUCAAGCUCAGUAAUUGAGCUAUUGCAAAUGAGAGAGAGGCCCAAUCCACUCCCCAGCUGACCUUCAAGAAGCUGUGACCAACAGGAGUCCCAGCUGUCCUGCAGUAUCCUCCUGCUACUCUUGUCCAGUGAUAUUCUGGGCUAAAUGCAAGCUCUUCCCAAAUCCCAGCUUACACAGUGCUUGUAUACUGCUUACUCCAAGGAGUGCUUUUUGACCCUUGGGGUUCCCAGAAAACAAGGACAAUCUAGGAUGGAAGAGUUUAAAAUGAAAAGCAUCCAGUCCAACAUGUAACUUGGUGGGUUUUUUUGUUUGUCUGUUUGUUUUUUUGCAUUAAAAAACAGUGUCUUUUGUACCUUGCUUUACUUCCCAUGAGAGAAGUCUCCCGAGAUUAAAAGAACAAAAC
ensembl:lncRNA